rnacentral:rRNA from 1 species
AGAACGAACGCUGGCGGCAGGCUUAACACAUGCAAGUCGAACGUGAUUGGAAGCUUGCUUCCAUGAAAGUGGCGCACGGGUGAGUAACGCGUGGAUAACCUGCCCUGGUAUCCGGAAUAACAUCUACGAAAGGGGUGCUAAUACCGGAUAAGCCUACGGAGCCUUCGGUCUCUGCAGGAAAGGUGGCCUCGUAAUUUAUAGCUACCGUAUCAGGAUGGGUCCGCGUACCAGUUAGCGUAGUGGUGGGGUAAUCGGCCUACCAAGGCGACGAUGGUUAGCUGGUCCUGAGAGGGAUGAUCAGCCACA